rnacentral:rRNA from 1 species
UACUAGAGUAGCACUCGCAUAUCAAUAAGCGGAGGAAAAGAAACUAACAAGGAUUCCCCUAGUAACGGCGAGUGAAGCGGGAAGAGCUCAAAUUUGAAAUCUUAAAGGGUUUCCCUUUACGAAUUGUAGUUUAAAGAAGUGUUUUCUGUUGAGGUUUUGGUAAAAGUUCUUUGGAAUAGGACAUCAUAGAGGGUGAGAAUCCCGUAUUUGACCUUUACUUUCAACUUUGUGAUACACUUUCAGAGAGUCGGAUUGUUUGGGAAUGCAGUCCAAAAUGGGUGGUAAAUUUCAUCUAAAGCUAAAUAUUGGCGAGAGACCGAUAGCGAACAAGUACCGUGAGGGAAAGAUGAAAAGAACUUUGAAAAGAGAGUUAAACAGUACGUGAAAUUGUCAAAAGGGAAGCGUUUGACACCAGUGUUGUUUUUCUGAAAAUCAAUUAAAGAACUGUUUAUGCUAAGCUGUCUAGACUUUAUCAGCUAAUCUGUUUAGUUUUGAGCUUUUCUUUAAUGCACUUUUCAGUUAACAAGUCAACAUCAAUUUCUUUUGCUGUAAAAAAGCUUGAGGAAGGUGGCUUGAGAUUCGUCUUAAGUGUUUAUAGCCUCUUGCCUAUGCAGUCGGAGAGAUUGAGGUCUGCAGCGUAGAUCCUUCGGGGCUAAAUGCAUUUGUGCUAAGUUAUAGCAUUUUAUAGACAACUUGUUGACUAUGAUUUGUCUUGUAGCUUACUCGCUUAUGUUAUUUUACCUACGCUUAGGAUGUUGAGCGCAUGUCUCUCUCU